rnacentral:rRNA from 1 species
GACGAACGCUGGCGGCGUGCUUAACACAUGCAAGUCGAACGGGCCCGCCCCUGUUUUUGGGGGUGGGUUGAGUGGCGAACGGGUGAGUAUCACGUGAGUAACCUGCCCCCUGCUCCUGGAUAACUGCUUGAAAGGGCGGCUAAUACGGGGUGUGCCGGCUGGUCCGCAUGGGCCUGGUCGGGAUAGUUUCAUCUUCGGGUGUUUCGGGGGGGGAUGGGCUCGCGGCCUAUGAGCUUGUUGGGGGGGUGAUGGCCCACCAAGGCGGUGGCGGGUAGCCGGCCUGAGGGGGUGCGCGGCCACACUGGGACUGGGCCACGGCCCGGCCGCCUGCGGGAGGCGGCAGUGGGGGGUAUUGCAAGAUGGGCGGAAGCCUGAUGCAGCGACGUCGCGUGAGGGAUGGAGGCCUUCGGGUUGUGAACCUCUUUCUCCGGUGGUGAAGGCCCUGUCCGUUGCGGCGGGGUUGACGGUAGCCGGGUAUGAAGCGCCGGCUAACUACGUG